AGAGAGGGAGAGAGAGUGCGAGCACAUAAUCUGAAAACAAUGCAGGAUGGUGGUGCACAGGUCAAGUCACCAAUGGAAGAAAAAUUCAGGUGACAAAACGAUACAAAUGAAAAUUACUGGGAGUGAGUUGAAGAUUGAGGCUGAAUUAUCCCAUCUAUGGGUGUAACUCUAUUUUGCUGGUAACUGGAGAGAACUCAUUCCUGACGAUUCCCAUCUCUUAAAGGACAAUCUUUAAAGGACGUGAAAAGGCGUUAUAUAUAUAUUAGUGAAUUUGUAUUGUUGCG